rnacentral:snRNA from 1 species
AGGAUCCUCACAGGAAGACCCAAUUCAAAAAAUUGGCGUAUGCCGCUAUAAGUGACAAGUACACGGUAUUCUUUAGUAAAAGGCGAAAGAAUAGUUCGCUAUGUACUUAUCACACGGCU